CAGAAAAAAAGAAAAAAAAAUAGAUAAAAUCGAUGUCCCCUUUCUUCUUGUUUCCAGUUGCAUUUCCUUCUGUUCUCUGGGAAGCUUCCCCCAUCCCAGUAAUUUGCAUAUUUAUUUUUUAAGCUAAAUUACUUUAAUAAAAUAGGUAGUACAAAAUUGAAAAGUAACCAAAGUUAAACCCUUCCAUUUCUGCUGCCUGCUCCCCAUUUCCCCUCCCAGAGGCAACCGCCAACACUAAUUUGUGUGUCUUUUUGUAGAAUCUAACGUGUACAGAUGUAUGUGUGUUCUUAUUUUCCCUCCCAUAACCAGUAGUGGUUCUGCAGGCUCAGUUGAGUGUCCUCUACUCAACUGCACCCGUUUAACAGGACACG
rnacentral:lncRNA from 1 species